rnacentral:lncRNA from 1 species
ACAUUUAUAUUACAUCAUUAAUUUCAAAUUUAACACCAACCAUAACAGUAACCCACUUGUAACUUACUGAACAUCAGAGUGACAUUCACUUAUUUUUACCUUUAAGUUUGAUAAUAGGUCAAUUAUAAAAAAGUUGACAACACUAUAUAUAUUAUAUCCAAUUGGUUUCGCUGAACGCUUAUUAAUAUCGGCCAGCCGUGGGUGAAUAUUGUUCCCGGUAAAAAUUAAAAAUGUAGGAUGUCUUAAUUUGUCGUUAUAAUAUAAGUUUAACAUUAUCAUUCGUCGGAGGGGGUAAUUUGCCGAUUACGGAGAUCAACUUAAUUGUUUAAUUCUAAAAUAAUACGAGUAUUAUUAUACAUAGAUGUAAUUACUUACCCAGCUGUCUCCACUCUCCGUAUCAUGUAAUUGUAUUUAACAGCUAUAUAAGUACUGUGUUGGUCGCUACUUAUAUAACAUUAUUAUGACGUAUGUUUCGGUUUCCACGAGAUAAAAACAAUAAUAUAAUAGUCUGAGCAGAAUUUUUACUUUACUGGACAUCGUCGACAUUUUUCAAUUAUCUUCUUCAUCGGAACAUCGGUGUAAUGGUUCGAAACGCAUUUGUUGUACAGAUAAGUAUUAACUGCGAAUUUUACUCAUCUGCAAAACCGAGUAAGUAUCGAAUAUCUAUAUAAAGGUGUGACGAGGUUCACGUUGAUCUGACAGACGAAUGUUUAACGAUGUUCGAUCCGGAAACGUACGCUGUGGUAAUUACAUACAAUAUGUAUGAAUAAAACGACGAAGGUACUUUUUCUGGCUAGUCAUCGUCCCGUAAGAAACGUAUUGCCCUUGCCAGACGUUUAAACGCGUACCACGUACGAUACUCAGAUAGUUUGCCACGUCACGAUAAAACCCAUAGCUGUGUUAUAAUAUUAUAAUAUAUUUUAUAAUACGUCCCACAUUAUAUGUAAGUAUUACCUACGUCGUAUUCACGAGCUUCUAUGAAAAGCGUACUUACCUACGUUUAAGUUUGACCAUAGACAGUAGAAUUCUGUAAUUUAAAUUAAAUACCUCCGUUUUACCCACUGACUGAUUCGACGAUAAAAAAAAAUAAGAGGUCAUGACAUCAAAAUUAUAAUUAUUUUAAAUCUAUAAACAUGGAUUUUAUAACUGUUAAAACGUCAGACAUAAAACUAUAAAAGUCAACUAUAUUAUGGGAUAGUAUUGAUAUUAAUUAAAAAUAUACCUUUAGUAAUUAAUAAUAAUAAAUAGCUACGAGAAAUGUAUAAAAAAAGUUUAAUGUAUUCAGUAUUAAUAAUUCAUAUUACAAGUGUACAGUUAUAUAACUAUCGUCUAAGGAGAUGAAGUACAGACAAUUGUUCAAAUAUUACACAUAUUAAAAUGCAUAUAUAUAUAAAUGUAUAAUAAAUAAAAAAAAAAACAAUGAUCAAGCACCAAUUUUAUUUUUUUUGAUGAGUUUUAAAUAGGCAAUUAAAAGGAUUUAUAUUUUUCAAACAUUUAAAUGAAUUUAUAAAGUAAUUUACAAGUUAUCCCGUGUAAGCAUAGCACAAUAUUGUUUUAUUGAAUAUAAAUAUAUUUGUAUAGUGAGUAAAGGAGAGCCUUCAUACAUAAUUUUUAUUUUUCAGGUAGAUAAUUCAAAACAACAAAUGUAUAAUAUAAUUUAAUGAAAAUCUUAAAAACUAACAAAUGUUUACAGGUAAAUUAUUGUUUAAAAUUGAAUUACUCAAUCGCAGAAAUAAAAACGUUAUAAUACAUAACACGUUUUUUUCGUUAAAUAGGUAUCUAUGUAUAGUACAAAAUAUGGUGACUAAUUUCUUGGAGGUAUUGCAGGUUCGCAGGUACGAGUGGAAGAUUUAUAAGUGAAGUGAUGGCCCAUGGUGCCCGAUGGAUAUUACACCUCCCAACGUUUACAAAAUCAAUAGAGAGUUUUUAAAUCAUCUACGAUUUCAAUUUAAUAUCAACAAAUAAACACGAUGUAGGACAUCAAUUAUACUCACAGAAAUAUGAGAGCUGCAGGAGCAGUUAAUGCGCCACCGAGUAAGAAAAACGCUCCAGGAACCGUCUUCAGCGUGGCC